GACGAACGCUGGCGGCGUGCCUAAUACAUGCAAGUAGAACGCUGAAGAGAGGAGCUUGCUCUUCUUGGAAGAGUUGCGAACGGGUGAGUAACGCGUAGGUAACCUGCCUUGUAGCGGGGGAUAACUAUUGGAAACGAUAGCUAAUACCGCAUAACAAUGGGUGACCCAUGUCAUUCAUUUGAAAGGGGCAACUGCUCCACUACAAGAUGGACCUGCGUUGUAUUAGCUAGUAGGUGAGGUAACGGCUCACCUAGGCGACGAUACAUAGCCGACCUGAGAGGGUGAUCGGCCACACUGGGACUGAGACACGGCCCAGACUCCUACGGGAGGCAGCAGUAGGGAAUCUUCGGCAAUGGGGGCAACCCUGACCGAGCAACGCCGCGUGAGUGAAGAAGGUUUUCGGAUCGUAAAGCUCUGUUGUAAGCCAAGAACGAGUGUGAGAGUGGAAAGUUCACACUGUGACGGUAGCUUACCAGAAAGGGACGGCUAACUACGUGCCAGCAGCCGCGGUAAUACGUAGGUCCCGAGCGUUGUCCGGAUUUAUUGGGCGUAAAGCGAGCGCAGGCGGUUUGAUAAGUCUGAAGUUAAAGGCUGUGGCUCAACCAUAGUUCGCUUUGGAAACUGUCAAACUUGAGUGCAGAAGGGGAGAGUGGAAUUCCAUGUGUAGCGGUGAAAUGCGUAGAUAUAUGGAGGAACACCGGUGGCGAAAGCGGCUCUCUGGUCUGUAACUGACGCUGAGGCUCGAAAGCGUGGGGAGCGAACAGG
rnacentral:rRNA from 1 species